rnacentral:hammerhead_ribozyme from 1 species
AUCCAGCUGACGAGUCCAAAAUAAGACGAAACGCUCUCCCUGUAU